AAACCGUUCAGGGGUAAACCUGUGAAACCCAAAAGAUCGAAUGAGGAGAUUCAUCGUCAGCGURUUCAGUAUUAAUGCAGGCUAUGAUGUGAUAAUAGAAUCCUCGUGGUCACUAGAUUAUACUUGCUUGUAUUAUUUUUGCUGGGUAUGUCGGCGUGCACUUCUCCUCUAGUAGAACGUCGCAACCCGUUGGAUGUUUAUCUAUGGCCUGAUUGGUAGCCUUUGAUUANUUAUUAUAUUGAAGACCUUUUGGUGUCCUGAUAAACUGUUUGACGGUAUACAUNAUAGUAUUGAGCCGCAAUUAUUUGCGUUAGACUUGCCGCAAGUAAGGCUUUAUUCUGGUAGUGCGGAUUUAAUGCCGUCGCUGGNACAAAGUCUGCUGUUAGCUGUGUAAUGUCUUUAACUGGCUUAUUUACUGGUUAGCGAUGCUACUGCUUUGGGUACUUACGGACCCGUCUUG
rnacentral:rRNA from 1 species